rnacentral:lncRNA from 1 species
UAAAAAAAAAUUAAGAAAUUAUAAUAAUUAAAAAUUAUAUUAAUAAAAUAAUUUAAAUAUAAAUUUUUUAUUAAUAUUUUUUAGGGCCCUAUUUCUAUUUGUAGUUAAGUAAAAAAAAUAUUCCUCUUGAGCUUGCAUUGCACACGAUGUGCUAUGUAGGCAAAAAUAUCCAAUUAGUUCAAAAUUUGAGAGGGUUAAGGCAUGAUAGGUAAAGCUUUAAUUGGAAGGAUGUAAGUAAAUUUUCAAAACAAAUUUUCAGACUGACAAUGACUUACAUGACAAUUGAGCAUGCCAUAGUGAAACGUAUUAUAAUGAUGAUUCAUAUAUUCCUUUUUUCUAAAAUUGUCCUUGAAUAUGAGUCGUCCUCAAAAUUAAAAGGCAAUUCUAUACUUAUUAACAAGCUGUUCCUCAAAAAGAUUUUUGUUUUGGUAGAGAUAUGAUAAAAAACUGUUCAUUUUUCAGAUAGAUAUUAAAAAUUUUCCUGACGUAUUUGGGGACAAAGCUAUUGUACUUUUGUAUGUGUUCUAUUAAGAACUUAUACACUAAGCUUUUGGUAAAAAGAAAUCUUUUGGAAACAAACAACAACAAACCAGUAUGGAGGGUAAAAUGUAGGCAGUCCAUACCACUACCCGAACGAGUAGAGAGGCUCUUUUGGAAACAAAGUGUUGGAUAAUUUUACUGUACCAACCCAACCUGCAGAACUUGAGAAAGGAAUAUUUCAAGUGUUGCUUCCUUUGG